UAUGACACUGUAACAUGUCCUGG
rnacentral:miRNA from 1 species